rnacentral:rRNA from 1 species
UACGAAGGGGGCUAGUGUUGCUCGGAAUCACUGGGCGUAAAGGGUGCGUAGGCGGGUCUUUAAGUCAGGGGGGAAAUCCUGGAGCUCAACUCCAGAACUGCCUUUGAUACUGAAGAUCUUGAGUUCGGGAGAGGUGAGUGGAACUGCGAGUGUAGAGGUGAAAUUCGUAGAUAUUCGCAAGAACACCAGUGGCGAAGGCGGCUCACUGGCCCGAUACUGACGCUGAGGCACGAAAGCGUGGGGAGCAAACAGG